CCUACGGGGGGCAGCAGUGAGGAAUAUUGGUCAAUGGACGAGAGUCUGAACCAGCCAAGUAGCGUGAAGGAUGACUGCCCUAUGGGUUGUAAACUUCUUUUAUAAAGGAAUAAAACGAGGCACGUGUGCCUUUUUGCAUGUACUUUAUGAAUAAGGAUCGGCUAACUCCGUGCCAGCAGCCGCGGUAAUACGGAGGAUCCGAGCGUUAUCCGGAUUUAUUGGGUUUAAAGGGAGCGUAGAUGGGUUGUUAAGUCAGUUGUGAAAGUUUGCGGCUCAACCGUAGAAUUGCAAUGGAUACUGGCAGUCUUGAGUACAGUUGAGGUAGGCGGAAUUCGUGGUGUAGCGGUGAAAUGCUUAGAUAUCACGAAGAACCCCGAUUGCGAAGGCAGCUUACUAAACUGUAACUGACAUUGAUGCUCGAAAGUGUGGGUAGCAAACAGGAUUAGAUACCCGUGUAGUC
rnacentral:rRNA from 1 species